UUAAGAAUUAGUUAAAUUUAAUAUAACAUUAAGGUGUCAACUUAAAAUAAUUUUUCUUAAAUAUUCUUAA
rnacentral:tRNA from 1 species